rnacentral:rRNA from 1 species
UUAAGCGACUAAGCGUACACGGUGGAUGCCCUGGCAGUCAGAGGCGAUGAAGGACGUGCUAAUCUGCGAUAAGCGUCGGUAAGGUGAUAUGAACCGUUAUAACCGGCGAUUUCCGAAUGGGGAAACCCAGUGUGAUUCGUCACACUAUCAUUAACUGAAUCCAUAGGUUAAUGAGGCGAACCGGGGGAACUGAAACAUCUAAGUACCCCGAGGAAAAGAAAUCAACCGAGAUUCCCCCAGUAGCGGCGAGCGAACGGGGAGGAGCCCAGAGCCUGAAUCAGUGUGUGUGUUAGUGGAAGCGUCUGGAAAGGCGCGCGAUACAGGGUGACAGCCCCGUACACAAAAAUGCACAUGCUGUGAGCUCGAUGAGUAGGGCGGGACACGUGGUAUCCUGUCUGAAUAUGGGGGGACCAUCCUCCAAGGCUAAAUACUCCUGACUGACCGAUAGUGAACCAGUACCGUGAGGGAAAGGCGAAAAGAACCCCGGCGAGGGGAGUGAAAAAGAACCUGAAACCGUGUACGUACAAGCAGUGGGAGCACAGAGCAAUCUGUGUGACUGCGUACCUUUUGUAUAAUGGGUCAGCGACUUAUAUUCUGUAGCAAGGUUAACCGAAUAGGGGAGCCGAAGGGAAACCGAGUCUUAACUGGGCGUUAAGUUGCAGGGUAUAGACCCGAAACCCGGUGAUCUAGCCAUGGGCAGGUUGAAGGUUGGGUAACACUAACUGGAGGACCGAACCGACUAAUGUUGAAAAAUUAGCGGAUGACUUGUGGCUGGGGGUGAAAGGCCAAUCAAACCGGGAGAUAGCUGGUUCUCCCCGAAAGCUAUUUAGGUAGCGCCUCGUGAAUUCAUCUCCGGGGGUAGAGCACUGUUUCGGCAAGGGGGUCAUCCCGACUUACCAACCCGAUGCAAACUGCGAAUACCGGAGAAUGUUAUCACGGGAGACACACGGCGGGUGCUAACGUCCGUCGUGAAGAGGGAAACAACCCAGACCGCCAGCUAAGGUCCCAAAGUCAUGGUUAAGUGGGAAACGAUGUGGGAAGGCCCAGACAGCCAGGAUGUUGGCUUAGAGGCAGCCAUCAUUUAAAGAAAGCGUAAUAGCUCACUGGUCGAGUCGGCCUGCGCGGAAGAUGUAACGGGGCUAAACCAUGCACCGAAGCUGCGGCAGCGACACUGUGUGUUGUUGGGUAGGGGAGCGUUCUGUAAGCCUGUGAAGGUGUGCUGUGAGGCAUGCUGGAGGUAUCAGAAGUGCGAAUGCUGACAUAAGUAACGAUAAAGCGGGUGAAAAGCCCGCUCGCCGGAAGACCAAGGGUUCCUGUCCAACGUUAAUCGGGGCAGGGUGAGUCGACCCCUAAGGCGAGGCCGAAAGGCGUAGUCGAUGGGAAACAGGUUAAUAUUCCUGUACUUGGUGUUACUGCGAAGGGGGGACGGAGAAGGCUAUGUUGGCCGGGCGACGGUUGUCCCGGUUUAAGCGUGUAGGCUGGUUUUCCAGGCAAAUCCGGAAAAUCAAGGCUGAGGCGUGAUGACGAGGCACUACGGUGCUGAAGCAACAAAUGCCCUGCUUCCAGGAAAAGCCUCUAAGCAUCAGGUAACAUCAAAUCGUACCCCAAACCGACACAGGUGGUCAGGUAGAGAAUACCAAGGCGCUUGAGAGAACUCGGGUGAAGGAACUAGGCAAAAUGGUGCCGUAACUUCGGGAGAAGGCACGCUGAUAUGUAGGUGAAGUCCCUCGCGGAUGGAGCUGAAAUCAGUCGAAGAUACCAGCUGGCUGCAACUGUUUAUUAAAAACACAGCACUGUGCAAACACGAAAGUGGACGUAUACGGUGUGACGCCUGCCCGGUGCCGGAAGGUUAAUUGAUGGGGUCAGCGCAAGCGAAGCUCUUGAUCGAAGCCCCGGUAAACGGCGGCCGUAACUAUAACGGUCCUAAGGUAGCGAAAUUCCUUGUCGGGUAAGUUCCGACCUGCACGAAUGGCGUAAUGAUGGCCAGGCUGUCUCCACCCGAGACUCAGUGAAAUUGAACUCGCUGUGAAGAUGCAGUGUACCCGCGGCAAGACGGAAAGACCCCGUGAACCUUUACUAUAGCUUGACACUGAACAUUGAGCCUUGAUGUGUAGGAUAGGUGGGAGGCUUUGAAGUGUGGACGCCAGUCUGCAUGGAGCCGACCUUGAAAUACCACCCUUUAAUGUUUGAUGUUCUAACGUGGACCCGUGAUCCGGGUUGCGGACAGUGUCUGGUGGGUAGUUUGACUGGGGCGGUCUCCUCCUAAAGAGUAACGGAGGAGCACGAAGGUUGGCUAAUCCUGGUCGGACAUCAGGAGGUUAGUGCAAUGGCAUAAGCCAGCUUGACUGCGAGCGUGACGGCGCGAGCAGGUGCGAAAGCAGGUCAUAGUGAUCCGGUGGUUCUGAAUGGAAGGGCCAUCGCUCAACGGAUAAAAGGUACUCCGGGGAUAACAGGCUGAUACCGCCCAAGAGUUCAUAUCGACGGCGGUGUUUGGCACCUCGAUGUCGGCUCAUCACAUCCUGGGGCUGAAGUAGGUCCCAAGGGUAUGGCUGUUCGCCAUUUAAAGUGGUACGCGAGCUGGGUUUAGAACGUCGUGAGACAGUUCGGUCCCUAUCUGCCGUGGGCGCUGGAGAACUGAGGGGGGCUGCUCCUAGUACGAGAGGACCGGAGUGGACGCAUCACUGGUGUUCGGGUUGUCAUGCCAAUGGCACUGCCCGGUAGCUAAAUGCGGAAGAGAUAAGUGCUGAAAGCAUCUAAGCACGAAACUUGCCCCGAGAUGAGUUCUCCCUGACCCUUUAAGGGUCCUGAAGGAACGUUGAAGACGACGACGUUGAUAGGCCGGGUGUGUAAGCGCAGCGAUGCGUUGAGCUAACCGGUACUAAUGAACCGUGAGGCUUAACCUU